UCGAUGAGCAGGAGACAGCAUCACCCUUCUUUUCGUUUGCCGCAUGACAUCAAGGUCUUCGGUGAAAACAAAGAGGAGCUUGGUAUCAAAUCCAAAGGAUGUAGCGGCGGAUCGUGAGAUCUCGAAGUAGGAAUUGGUUGAAACAUAUAAGAAACUUGAUGCUAAAUUGCUCUAAAUAAAGAGAAAACAUGGGAUUUGGGUAUCUGCACGAUAUCGCUCAUAUCCGCUUUCCUUUUUACUCUCUUAUGCGUAUCUGCUGUGUUCGGGUCGCUUCCGAUAAAUUACGUGUUGCAUCAAUGCGAACCCUCCUCUCCGGGCUUCACCUCCGCCCGAAACCCUCCUCCUCGCAUCUACAUAACUCCGCGAUCCCUUGCUUGCCCAAAUCACUUUCCGGAAACCCUAACCUCACCCGCUUCGUUCGGUUGUGGUCUUUAAAUUCUCGUCGCUGCGUCGCCGCCAUGGCCGACUCCUCGGAGGAUUUCGUCAAGGGGAGCAUCUUCCCUAAUGGCGUCGCCGUCAUCACCCUCAAUCGCCCCAAAGCCCUCAACGCCAUGAAUCUCGAGAUGGACUUCAAAUACCAUACUUUACUCGAUGAAUGGGGAAUUAACCCCAGCAUCAAAUGUGUUUUGGUGGAGAGCAGCUCACCUCGGGCCUUUUCAGCAGGUGGUGAUGUGAAGCAGAUUACGACCAAGUACAAAAUGUCAGAAAUAAUUGAGGUCUUUAUUGCAGAAUAUACUCUGAUUUGUAAAAUUUCUGAGUAUAGAAAGCCUUAUAUAUGCUUCAUGGAUGGUGUGACCAUGGGGUUUGGAAUUGGGUUGUCUGGUCAUGGGCGGUAUCGAAUUAUCACAGAGAGGACUCUUCUUGCCAUGCCAGAAAAUGGAAUUGGCUUGUUUCCAGAUGUUGGCUUUGCUUAUAUUGCAGCAAAUGGUCCAGGAAGAGGGGCGGUUGGUGCUUAUCUUGGAAUGACUGGGAAAAGAAUUUCAUCACCUGCUGAUGCAUUAUAUAUGGGUCUUGGAACACAUUAUGUGCCAUCUGGAAGUUUGGCCAUGUUGAAGGAAGCUCUUUUAAAUGUUAACUUCUCUGAUGACCCUGACAAAGAUAUCCAGGCACUGUUGGCUGGUCAUAAAAAGGAACCAGAAUCAGAGGCUCAACUGAAAAUGCUUUUGCCGCAGAUUAUUUCUUGUUUUGCAAAUAAAUCCAUCUCUGAGACAAUAGAAGAGUUAAAAAGGCACCAAGCUAGUUCUGACUCUGUGGUGGCAAGCUGGGCUAGCGAUGCGCUUUCAGGCCUUGGUACAGGUGCUCCCUUUUCUCUUUUUGUAACUCAGAAGCACUUCUCCCAAGUUGCACUUGCACAUGGAAGUGUGGAUAACCAUUUAGCAAAACUAAGUGGCAUAAUGAAGACUGAAUUUCGAAUUGCUUUGAGAUCUUCAAUCCGGAAUGAUUUUGCUGAAGGUGUACGGGCAGUCUUGGUGGACAGAGACCAGAAUCCAAAGUGGAGACCGUCCAACUUGGCGGACGUUGACAUAGCUGAAGUGGAAUCGGUUUUUGAUCCCUUGCCUCAUGAAAAUGAACUAAAUGUAUGAUAAUUUGCAGAAUUGGGAGCAUAAAGAAACCAAGGGCAACUUUCUUCUUUAAACUUCCUUAUUAGCAAAUUAGUGGAAAAGGAAGGAAACGAACGAUGAGCAUAAUUUAAAUACCCUCUGUCAUACAGCUGAAGGAUGUGGCACUUGGUGGAAGCUCCGGAAAAGCUGGUCGAUGAGAAGCACAACUGUUCCCAUGUACUAUGGCCUAAUUGCAAGGUAAGUGGAAGUAGCACGUCGUUUCGUUGUUGCCGUCUCUUGGUAAGAAUAAUUGCAGAAACUUAUUAUUAUUCAGACUUUCCUCCAUCUUAUCAAUAAUUCUUUAAUUAUUGAUAAUUUUUAAAAAAUAAUAAAAUAUUAUUCGUCUUAAUAUUAUUGAUUU